GUGGGGCCCAAUCAGUCACUAAUUUGUAAACUUACAAGUGUUUUACACGCACCUGUGUGUUCAGUACCCAGGAGACAGUGUAGUGACCGGACAGGGACGGAUCAAUGGCAGACUGGUGUAUGUUUUCAGCCAGGACUUCACAGUGUUUGGAGGCAGUUUAUCAGGAGCUCACGCUCAGAAGAUCUGCAAGGUCAUGGACCAGGCGAUGAUGGUGGGAGCUCCAGUAAUUGGUCUGAAUGACUCUGGUGGAGCACGCAUUCAGGAAGGGGUAGAGUCCUAGUGGCGAUGUUCAGUAGACUUUCACAGAAGUUCUAGAGAAGUAGGUUAUUACA